GGUUUUUAUACAACAUGUUUUAAUUGUGAAUUGGUGUUUGUAGUUUGUGCAAAUUUUAAAUCUGAUGAUGGCGGGAUGAUGGGAUUGUUGCUUCACGCUUUGACUGAGACCCAGGAAAGAAAUCAUCUUGAGAAACCAGCUGCUCAGAAUGGGAACUGACUGGCUCGUCGAGCAGACCGAUAACUCCCUAUCAGAAGACAUUGUAAGACGUAUUAUUAAAGCACAGGCCAGAGAAAAGCAAGAACAGUGAGAUACAGACGAUCAGGCAAGGCACAAAGUGACGAAGUGGAGCAGCCUGUCGCGACUGUCGCAUAUAAAAUUUGCAGUAAAACCACGAAACAAGAAAAAUUUUAUCGUCCAAAAACCACAAUUUGUGAUGUGAGACAUAGUCUCGCCUAGAAGGCAAAGCGCGGUUCAUAACUAUAUUAUAAGGGGCAAAACAUUGUAACAUUUUCGCAAGGAUUAAUACAAGUUUCUAAUCAUUGGAAAGUAAUAAAUAAACUUCCCGCUUGAA